AGGGUUCGAUUCUGGCUCAGGAUGAACGCUGGCGGCGUGCCUAAUACAUGCAAGUCGAACGAGGUAGCAAUACCGAGUGGCGAACGGGUGAGUAACACGUAGGUAACCUGCCCUUAAGCUUGGGAUACCCAGAGGAAACUUUGGCUAAUACCGGAUAACAACAGAGAAGGCAUCUUCUUUGCUUGAAAGGCCCCUUCAAGGGUCACUUAAGGAUGGACCUGCGGCGCAUUAGCUAGUUGGUGAGAUAACAGCCCACCAAGGCGAGGAUGCGUAGCCGAACUGAGAGGUUGAUCGGCCACAUUGGAACUGAGACACGGUCCAAACUCCUACGGGAGGCAGCAGUAAGGAGUUUUCGGCAAUGGGGGAAACCCUGACCGAGCAACGCCGCGUGAGCGAUGACGGCCCUAUGGGUUGUAAAGCUCUGUUGUAAGCCAUGAAUGAUAGCUUGAGGAAAUGCAAGUUAUUUGACGACAGCUUACCAGAAAGCCACGGCUAACUACGUGCCAGCCGCUGC
rnacentral:rRNA from 1 species